rnacentral:pre_miRNA from 1 species
AGGACGUCCCCUUACGGGAAUAUAAAUAUUAGUGGCAGUGGUACCGCCACUGCCUAUAUUUAUAUACUCCGAAGGAACUUGUUAGCCGAUAGGCGAGGCAACAAAUUUAUUUAUUGUAUAUAAAUAUCCACUAAAAUUUAUUUGCCCGAAGGGGACGUCCU